rnacentral:rRNA from 1 species
UGAGGAAUAUUGGUCAAUGGGCGAGAGCCUGAACCAGCCAAAUCGCGUGAAGGAAGACUGCCUUAUGGGUUGUAAACUUCUUUUAUACAGGAAUAAAAAAGGGGACGUGUCCCUUAUUGCAUGUACUGUAUGAAUAAGCAUCGGCUAACUCCGUGCCAGCAGCCGCGGUAAUACGGAGGAUGCGAGCGUUAUCCGGAUUUAUUGGGUUUAAAGGGUGCGCAGGCGGGCUUUUAAGUCAGCGGUGAAAUCUCGGGGCUUAACUCCGAAACUGCCGUUGAAACUGGGAGUCUUGAGUAUGGAUGAAGUAGGCGGAAUUCGUUGUGUAGCGGUGACAUGCUUAGAUAUAACGAGGAACUCCGAUUGCGUAGGCAGCUUACUAAGCCAUAACUGACGCUCAAGCACGAAAGCGUGGGGAUCAAACAGGAUUAGAUACCCUGGUAGUCCACGCCGUAAACGAUGAUUACUAGUUGUAUGCGAUAUACCGUAUGUGACUAAGCGAAAGCGAUAAGUAAUCCACCUGGGGAGUACGCCGGCAACGGUGAAACUCAAAUGAUUGACGGGGUCAUAGCUGUUUCCUG